CCUACGGGGCGCAGCAGUGAGGAAUAUUGGUCAAUGGACGAGAGUCUGAACCAGCCAAGUAGCGUGAAGGAUGACUGCCCUAUGGGUUGUAAACUUCUUUUAUAAAGGAAUAAAACGAGGCACGUGUGCCUUUUUGCAUGUACUUUAUGAAUAAGGAUCGUCUAACUCCGUGCCAGCAGCCGCGGUAAUACGGAGGAUCCGAGCGUUAUCCGGAUUUAUUGGGUUUAAAGGGAGCGUAGAUGGGUUGUUAAGUCAGUUGUUAAAGUUUGCGGCUCAACCGUAAAAUUGCAAUUGAUACUGGCAGUCUUGAGUACAGUUGAGGUAGGCGGAAUUCGUGGUGUAGCGGUGAAAUGCUUAGAUAUCACGAAGAACCCCGAUUGCGAAGGCAGCUUACUAAACUGUGACUGACAUUGAUGCUCGAAAGUGUGGGUAUCAAACAGGAUUAGAUACCCGAGUAGUC
rnacentral:rRNA from 1 species